rnacentral:tRNA from 1 species
GGGAGUUUAGCAUAAUGGUAGUGCAUCUCAGAAUGGUUUGAAUAACAACAAGAGAAGACCUUGGGUUCGAUUCCCAUAAUUCCCA